rnacentral:rRNA from 1 species
ACAGACGGUAGAGAUUCCGUCACCACCAAAAGAGUUAAGCACAGGGACACAUUUGAAGUCUCAGAGCCGGGUGUUGGUUCCGGUAGAGAUCGAGGGAAGUUAGUACCGAAGUCUGAGAUGGAAGACGGCGAGAAAAGCUGUGUGUAUUUCUGAGGUGCCCGUACCGCAAACCGACACAGGUAGGUAGGAAGAAGAUUCUAAGGCCAACGGGAGAAGGGUUGUUAAGGAACUCGGCAAAUUGACCCCGUAACUUCGGGAGAAGGGGUGCUCCAGAGAUGGAGCCGCAGAGAAUCGGCCCAAGCAACUGCUUACCAAAAACACAGGUUUGUGCUAAAUCAAAAGAUGACGUAUACGAGCUGACGCCUGCCCGGUGCUGGAAGGUUAAGAGGAGAUGUGCAAGCAUUGAAUCGAAGCCCCAGUGAGCGGCGGCCGUAACAAUAACGGUCCUAAGGUAGCGAAAUUCCUUGUCAGGUAAGUUCUGACCCGCAUGAAAGGCGUAAUGAUUUGGGCACUGUCUCAACAGCCCGCCCGGCGAAAUUGUAGUACCGGUGAAGAUGCCGGUUACCCGCGACAAGACGGAAAGACCCCAUGGAGCUUUACUGUAGCCUAAUAUUGGGUUUCGAUGUUGCAUGCACAGGAUAGAUGGGACACAGGGAAACAAUCGCUUUGGCGGUUGCGGAGUGGCCGUUGGGAUACCAUCCUUGCGAUGUUGGAAUUCUAACCUGCGGCUCUGAAUCGAGUCGGGGGACAUUGUUAGGUGGGCAGUUUGACUGGGGCGGUCGCCUCCUAAAAAGUAACGGAGGCGUUCAAAGGUUCGCUCAGCUUGAACGGAAAUCAAGCAAAAGAGUGCAAACGCAGAAGCGAGCCUAACUGCGAGACUGACGGGUCGAGCAGUAACGAAAGUUGGAGUUAGUGAUCCGGUGGUAUGUGAGUGGAAAUGCCAUCGCUCAACGGAUAAAAGUUACCCUGGGGAUAACAGGCUGAUCUCCCCCAAGAGUCCACAUCGACGGGGAGGUUUGGCACCUCGAUGUCGGCUCAUCGCAUCCUGGGGCUGUAUUCGGUCCCAAGGGUUUGGCUGUUCGCCAAUUAAAGCGGUACGCGAGCUGGGUUCAGAACGUCGUGAGACAGUUCGGUCCCUAUCUGUCGUGGGCGCAGGAUAUUUGAUGGGAGCUGUCCCUAGUACGAGAGGACCGGGACGGACGUACCUCUGGCGCACCAGUUGUUCCGCCAGGAGCAUAGCUGGGCAACUACGUACGGAUCGGAUAAACGCUGAAAGCAUCUAAGCGUGAAGCCGACCCAAAGAUAAGAUAUCCCACUGAUUAGAUCAGGUAAGAUCCCUUGAAGACUACAAGGUUGAUAGGCACGAUGUGUAAGUGGAGUGAUCCAUUCAGCAAGAGUGUACUAAUAGAUCGAGGGCUUGAGC